rnacentral:lncRNA from 1 species
GUAGGAAAGAUGGUAGAAUGAGAUGGACAUGAUUACUCUAGGUAAAUGUAUGAAGACACAAAUGGCGAGACUCUACUUUGUGUACAACCAGAGAAGUGAAAAAUUGUGCUCCAUUUGUGUACCAUCAACUGAAAUGCAUUCUGCUGUCAUGUAUAACAAAUUAGAACAAAUUAAUUAAUUAAUUAAUUUAAAAAAGAAGAAUUGCUGGGGUUGGAGUGAGUUGGAUGUAGAGGUGGUGAUUAUGGAUUUUACCAACAAUCUGAACUUUGACAAUCCAAUAUGUGAAAAACAGCACCUUACUGAUUUAAUUGGUAUUUAUUUUAUUAUGAAAGGACCAGCAGCUUGUCUCAUAGGCCAUCAAAAUGUAUAUCUCUGUGAAUAAAAUACAGUAUGAGUGCUGUCCUCUGAAGUUGUACAGCAUGGUAAUCCUGUAAUAUGGGCAAAUGCCAGUCACUAGUUCUGUCUGUGAAUUCUUUAUGACCCAGGCCAGUCCUAUGUUCUGCCUUCCUCCCUCUUUCUGUCUCUCUUCCCAUGAUACACUUAACCGAAAACAUACAUGGGAACUUUAGUACAUAGCAUCUUUGGCACCAUAGUUUCCCAAACCUAGACAUUAUCUAGUGAACAACAAUUAUACUCUUUGGGCCAUUUUCCCCCUAGUGAGGGCUACAUAGGGGCAGACUCUAAAUGAACUGUCUGUCACAGCAUGUCAAGUUUGGGAGCUCUAGAAUUUUGAAAUUAAAUUGCAUUCAAAGCACUUUCCCCAUGCCAGUUUGCACAAAAUCCUUGUUUGCCUCUUGCCUGCUGCAGGUUUAAUUAUGGAUCCUCCUGGAUGGAGGGAUGAAGACGCAGUGUGCUGAGUGAGCUGGGUGGUCAGUCCUGCCUACUGGGCUUGUGCUCUUGUGGUUUAUAAUGUCUUCUCGGGUGAAUAAUAAUAUCCUGUUCAUGCCAGGCCUUUUGGUCUUUGUUGAUGACCUAUGGGGACUGGAAGCCUGAGAUCUUAAAUUCAAGAACAUACCUUUUAAGCCUGGUCAAUCAAUCAGGCCGCACAGUCACAGCCACAGAAAGCACAAGCUGCUGAUGCAGAGAGACCCAAGUACUCAGAGCAGCACGCCACCUGCCAGGAAGCAUAGGGUCAACUUUUGGGGAUGGGGUACAUUCUGCACCUGAUCUCAUGUGAUGGGUUGCAGUAAAAAGGCAGGGGUACUAAUGCUGCAUAAAAUAUUGGUGCCUAAGGGUCUGUGCAUAAGGCGUAUAUGAAACAAAUUAAUUUUGUGUUUUGAUUUGGUUCCUACCCCCAAGAUACCUCAUUAUGUGUAUCUAAAUAUUCCAAAAUCCGAAAGAAUACAAAAUAUUUCUGGCCCCAAGCAUUUAUCAUAAUGGAUACUCACCCUGUACCUACUUUAUAAAGUUGUUAUGGGGAUUUAAUAAAAAUGCUCAGCAAAUAUAGCAAGCAUCAAAUAGACUCAUUUUAUCUUUUUUGCCAUUCCAGGGAUCCAACCCAGGACCUCAUCAGCUAGGCAAGCUAUUUACCACUGAGCCACACCCCUAGCCCUAAAUAGAGGUUUGGCCAAUGUUCUUUCCUCCUAUCAGGGGGGACUUGCCAACAACCUUUCACCUAGUCUCUUCUAUAAAGGGCAGUAUCAUUAACUAUUGCUGUAAAAUCAGCCAUCCCUCAAGACCAGUGGCUGAAGACAAUUGCUCGAGAGUCUUUGGAUCUGCAGAUCCGAGCACAGCUGGCUAAGCUUGCCUUGGCUCCUGUAUCAACAGUCAAGCAGGCAGGUCGAGGAUGGCCACACUCAGGCCUGGCUAAUCAGCCCUAGAUGUGGCACGCCCUCACUUCUGCUGCAUUCUAUUGGUUAAAGCCAGGACAGCCAAGAUUAAAGGGCUGGGGAGAUAGACUCCUCCUUUUAGGUAGGGGGAGAUCAUGUUGUGGAGGGUAAGGAGAUAGGGAGGGUGAGGAUGGCCAGUUUUGAUAUCAAAUGACCCUAGAGCCUGGGUGCCUGGGUGUGGGGAGUUCAGAGUAUACCUGUCAGUUGAGGAAGCAGGAUUGUCUCCCAGCACUGAGGCCAGAUCGAGGUGGAUUCAAAUCACAGCUCCACCACUUACCUGGGAGGCCCUCGGGAGACUUACUCUACCUCCCCAGCUUCGGUUUCCUCACGGGGUCACGGCGAGGACCAAGAAGGUAUUAUAUAGAAGGAGCUGAACACAAGCAGCCAAGCCUGGCACAAGCUGAGGGAAUAGUCAACAAAUGGAGAUUAUAUCAUUCUUAAAUCUCGUGGCACAUCCUGGGCUAUGCAGAACGCUGCCUCUGCUUCCCAAGGUUGAGGAGAAGGGAGACAAGCCAGGAGGAGCUGAUUUCAGACGCAGAACCGUGAAAUGGCCAUGACAGAGUAAGAGCUUAAUUAUAGUUAUUUGGGGAUAGAAGUGAGGAAUGUGAUCUGGUGAGCAGAGGGGAGGGGUUUGGGGGGAGGGAAGGAGGGAGGAAGAGGAAAGAGACAGAGGGAGGGGAAAGCAGAGCACUGGAGACAUCUCCCUGAAUCCUCCCCCAAAGUGCUAUUGACAGUUUUAUUUCAUAUUUUUUUUUGUCCAUAUACAAGAAUAUUCUGUGUUCACUUCAUGGAGUUCAAAAAAUAGAGUGUUUUCCCCACAAUCUUACCAACCAGAUAUGCUACUGGCUGAUAUUUACAUGAGUCUCAGUGUGUGCCAACAUUGUCACAAGUGUUUAUCACUGCUGUCCCUUGGGAAGACCCUGCAAGCAGGCAUUUCUAGUCUCAUUCAUUGCACAGGAGAGAUAAGAAAACAGGCACAGAGGACAUAAGUAACUGUCCAAUAUGUCACAUCCUGUCAAUAGCAGACUCCACAUCACCUGGGGACAGGUGAUGCUUGGUAUAUUUCCUUCCAUAGAAAAGUGUACCACUAGCAGGGUGCAAUGGCACAUGCCUGUAAUCCUAGUGGCUUGGGAGGCUGAGGCAGGAGGAUCAUGAGUUCAAAGCCAGCCUCAGCAAAAGCAAGGUGCUAAGCAACUCAGUGAGAUCCUGUCCUUAAAUAAAAUACAAAAUAGGGGCUGGGGAUGCGGCUCAGUGGUUGAGUGCCCCUGAGUUCAAUCCCUGGUACCAAAAAAAAAA